ensembl:lncRNA
CACGACCACGCUCAGCAUGAGGAACACGAGCGUGAUGAAGAAGGGGGGCGUCUUCUCGGCCGAGUUCCUCAAAGUCUUCCUUCCGUCUCUUCUGCUGUCCCACCUGCUGGCCAUCGGGCUGGGACCCUAGACCAGAACUCCGCCUGCCUCCUGUUGGAUAUGCUGGAGCCCGGGGCCCUCCUGGCCCUGUCCUGGCUUCCCCUGGGCACAGCCCCCCGGCUCCACCCCAAGUUGUUCUGGCAGCCUCGCCCAGGCAGCUGAGAGGGACUGCUUUCUGGAGCUUCCUCCAGAACCUGCAGUCAGACACUGGGGACCUGGCUGGCCGGGGGUUAGGCCACUGUUUCAGGAUGGACUCUGCAGCCGGCUCCCAGCUGGUCUCUGCCCUUCCUGCCCCAGAUCCCUGGGGACUUGUCAGAAUUCUGUGCACCCCCUCCCUCGGAGGAAGCCCCCGCUGGCAGGCCCGUGGGCCCUGAGGACACUCCCCCUCCCUGCCCGGCCCCCACCCCCUCCCCGGGCAGCCCUUUCGGAAGCCCCUUCCUCCCACACCACACUUGAGCUCCUGGGGGGCACGGUCAUUGUGAGGUUGGUGCUGAUAAACUUGGCCCCAUGGGCGGCUUAGCCGCGUGGUCAGUUCAAACAGUAGUGGGAGUUCCCUGGUGGCUGAGCACGUUAAGGACCUGGCAUUGUCACUGCAGGUGGCUCAGGUCACUGCCGGGGUGUGGGUUCCAUCCCUGGCCUGGGAACUUCCACAUGCCCCCGGUACGGCCCAGAAAGUGAAGACAGACGAGUCAUAGUGAGAGGAGUGAGCGCGUCCAGUUGGGCAGACGCCUCCCUCCCGGCGGCGUGUCCGGGCUGCGUCCCCUGCGUGGUGCUGCGGUUAGAGCAGGCCGGGGGGCUUCCUCCAUCAGGUUCCUCCCUAAAGCACAGGCUGAUGCAGAUGCCAGCACAGGUUGUGAGGACAGGUCCGCUAGGAGGCCGCCAGCCCCCUCCUUCCGUAAAUAAGCUGGAACCCGGCCCCGGCCCCCUACCCCCUCCGCUCCUUCUCCUCUCAGGAUCUACAUCGGGGGGGGGCUGACCCCGUCCCCNNNNNNNNNNNNNNNNNNNNNNNNNNNGGGGCUGUGGGCGCGCAGCACAGCUCGCGGAAGAAGCCGCGACGCCCGCCUGCUCUUGUGUAAGCGGCGCGGUCCUGACUCGCCAGGUUACAGACACCACGACUCUGCCCGCCUGCCUGGGACCCACUCCCGGGGUGGGUCCUAAGCACGUCACUGGUUCGCGUCUCCUGAAUCACCUGUAGCGACCAGUCUCUGGACAUGACAGACGUCCCAGCAUAAAUAAUUUUAACACACCUAGUCAUGACGAAUCUAGUAUUGUAACAGGUUAUCUGCAGCCUUGAGUUAGGCACUCGAUAGGAAAAGACUGCCUGCGGGGUCUGUUACCCACAUGGACGCCACGGCCUCACUACUGCGGACGAGUGUGAAGCGGACGCCUGGCUCCCGCAGAGCCCUCCUGGCUGUGCCCGUGGCUCUGCCACCUGAUCUGUAGAACCCAGGCUACAGAUCCGCCCAGGCGGGCGGUCCCGGCCCACACGGGACCGCUGCUGAGACUCCGGGGACACGGGGAAGCUGCUCCGUUUGCAUUGCUGGCUUUAGCCUGCUUGGGCUUUGUGUGCUCAGAAUCGGCUUGGGUCUAAGCUCCUCUGUCUACUUAGAAAGGCUGGAAUAGAAAAAAAUAAACCUUGGCCAACCUCUUGG